GUACCUCCAUCAUAUUUCUCCAUGGUAAAAUUCUUCCCAUUUUUCGGGCAGUGAGGUUUCUAUAACGGCUUCAAAAAAUGGAUGCCUCCUGACAAAUAUUCCUACAAAGAUACCAGAAGUCUCUGGUAUUCUCUCCCUUGUAGUUUCAAAUCUUUUCUCAUUAUGUACCCUUUGGUGGACAUGUUCUUGGUUGAACAGUUUCAAAUGAUGUGUUUAAAUUCGUCUCUUCAUUCAACUUCCUUUUCAUGUACGCAUUCUCCGCCCUUAGCAUACUUAACUUUUCUUCAUUGCUUCUCUUUAGUGUUUCGAACUCUCUUUGUAACUGCAUGAGCAUAGCCAUUGAUAUGGAAUUUUGAUUAUCU
rnacentral:lncRNA from 1 species